AUUGAACGCUGGCGGCAGGCUUAACGCAUGCAAGUCGAGCGGAGAUGAGGUGCUUGCACCUUAUCUUAGCGGCGGACGGGUGAGUAAUGCUUAGGAAUCUGCCUAUUAGUGGGGGACAACAUUCCGAAAGGAAUGCUAAUACCGCAUACGCCCUACGGGGGAAAGCAGGGGAUCUUCGGACCUUGCGCUAAUAGAUGAGCCUAAGUCGGAUUAGCUAGUUGGUGGGGUAAAGGCCUACCAAGGCGACGAUCUGUAGCGGGUCUGAGAGGAUGAUCCGCCACACUGGGACUGAGACACGGCCCAGACUCCUACGAGAGGCAGCAGUGGGGAAUAUUGGACAAUGGGCGGAAGCCUGAUCCAGCCAUGCCGCGUGUGUGAAGAAGGCCUUUUGGUUGUAAAGCACUUUAAGCGAGGAGGAGGCCACCUGGAUUAAAACUCUAGGAUAGUGGACGUUACUCGCAGAAUAAGCACCGGCUAACUCUGUGCCAGCCGCCGCCGUAAGAC
rnacentral:rRNA from 1 species